UACGUAGGGACCAAGCGUUGUUCGGAUUUACUGGGCGUAAAGGGCGCGUAGGCGGCAUGACAAGUCACUUGUGAAAUCUCUGGGCUUAACCCAGAACGGCCAAGUGAUACUGUCGCGCUAGAGUGCAGAAGGGGCAAUCGGAAUUCUCGGUGUAGCGGUGGAAUGCGUAGAGAUCGGGAAGAACAUCAGUGGCGAAGGCGGUCUGCUGGGCCGUUGCUGACGCUGAGGCGCGACAGCGUGGGGAGCAAACAGG
rnacentral:rRNA from 1 species